UCUUCUGCAGUUGGAGCUACCUCCCCCUAUAGAGAACCCGGUGCCAGCACACAUCCACAGGACGACAAGGAAGGGCAUGACCAGGACAACUGCUGACUGGCUAGUUAGACUAGAGCCGUAUGUUAUAGAAUGGGAGACAGCAAACACAAAUCUAUGGCACGAGAAUCACAAUUUCGAUCUCGAUGAAUUCAA